rnacentral:lncRNA from 1 species
CGGAGUGUACGCUAGCUCAAGGUUUGGUUGGCGUCCCGAUGUACCUCUAGGGUUCGUCUCGGUCCAGCGAUCCGUGGAACGGGCAGAGCAGGAGCAGGGCGGAAUUACCGUACCUGAGCUUGUCGUCAAGGUCCUCGAGGCAAUCCAAGCCUGUCUGUAAUCUCCAUUAGACAAUGCAUUUUUAUCUUGAAACUAUGGUGAUUGCAAUCAUAGCUUGGUCAAAACCAACUGUUAAAAUGAAACAAUACAUGCUGAGUUGAUAGAAAAAAACCCUAUAAUAAACAAAUCCUACUGAUAAAAAAUGAUGCAUUCAUGGCGGUGGUGGCAACAAUGCGUCUAUAGAUGCACACAACAAAUAUUUUGUUUGCAAUUUUACUGUUAUUCUGUUUUUCGGUUGGACCUAGAAUGUGAUGGCACAAGAGGGAAUUGGGAAUUGGGAAGUCAUAUUAACUAGAUAUGACAAUAUACUACAACCACCCCCAUAUACUUUGUCUGGAUAUUAUAGUCAUAAAAUGAUUCGCUUCACCUAGCCAAUUGGUCUAUCUAAAUAUCAAGCCACUCCUUUGAUCUCUCAUCUCUCUCAUUGCUUACCGAUCCAACCACUCAAAUUCGAAGAUACGUUUUGGGAGAGGUUUGACUAUGAGGAAUCUUUUAAAUCACAAGUGCAAGGAAUUCACUACCAAGCAACCUCAUCUAGAUUGGCUAGGUGUGGUUGUCAGCCUUCAACGUGUGACGGAACCAAGGAGUUUGUAUGGACUUGGAGAUCGCACAUGUCAUGAAGAUCUAACUCAGGGGAGGCAACCGAGAGCAAUACAGUACACACUUAAUUACCUCCCAGCGGUCGGUCCCCCUUCCAGCGCGCGGCUCGCGCUAGCGCAGGACCGCCGCUGCCGCCGGCUGAUCUCCCUCCUCCGUCCACCUCCGGCCCAGCCAAUUGCAGAUCCGGAACCCCGCCAGCGUCCUCUCUCCAUCCAUCCCGAAGCCCGGCGCCGUCUUCACCGGCUCUCUCCUCGCGGCGGAUUUCGAGUCGGGGUCUCCCCUCUUCCUGCCCCGCUCCCGUGCGGCCGCGCCGGGCCGCACCGGGGCGCCCCUGCGGGCUCGAGCCGGUCCCUCCACGCCUCUCUCUCCGCUCGCCGCCGCCGGAGGCGUCGUCGGG